UGUUUUCACUUCCUUUUCUUCAGAGCUGUAUCCGGGUCGUUGCUUUCCCUAUUGUUUUAGGCAACCGGCCUCGGAUUGUGUAAAUUCUGAGUCUUUUGUUGCUUUUGUUGCAGGCUAAUAAAGUUUUUCUUUUGUUUAUUUUUUUUCUAGGAGUUUUAACAGGGGACAUUAACUCCCCAGGGCUGCCGGGUUAGCCGCGCUGCCUGGGCCGGAGGGCGCCUUUGGCCGGGGAAGCGCCAAAGGAAGGUGCGCUAGCGGCCGGGGUCGGUUCUGCGAGGACCAGGGGCCGGGGGGCGGGAGGGGAACCGCGGGGCUGCACCUGGGGCGCCUCGGUCUGGUCCGCGGCGCCGACUAUUUUUAAUAGCAUCUUUUGGACUCGUUUCCUUGGUCUCAGUCCUCGACCUCGGCGCUGCCUGGGCUCUCGCAGCCUCUCCCUAGGUCUACUCCAAACGACCACCUCGGAUUCCUUAUGGAUCGCAGCUCCAAGAGGAGGCAGGUGAAGCCUUUGGCAGCUUCUCUGCUAGAAGCUCUCGAUUAUGAUAGUUCAGAUGACAGUGAUUUUAAAGUUGGAGAUGCUUCAGAUUCUGAAGGGAGUGGUAAUGGAAGUGAAGAUCCUUCAAAGGACAGUGGAGAAGGUUCCUGUAGUGAUUCUGAAGAAAAUGUUUUAGAGGAAGAACUGAAUGAAGAUAUUAAAGUAAAAGAAGAACAACUUAAAAAUUCUGCAGAGGAAGAAAUACUAUCAUCAGAAAAACAGUUAAUUAAAGUGGAAAAGAAGGAGGAAGAAGAGAAUGGAGAGAGACCUAGAAAGAAGAAGGAAAAAGAGAAGGAGAAAGAAAAAGAUAAAGAGAAGGAGAGAGAGAAGGAUAAAGAAAAAGCAACAACAUCUGAUAAUGUGGCUGCUUCUGCUGCUUCCACCACACCAGCCACAAGUCCUCCUGCUGCUAACACAUCUCCUUCAGUCCCCACUACAGCAACUACAGAGGAACAAGUCAGUGAGCCAAAAAAGUGGAACCUUCGUCGCAACCGACCACUUUUGGAUUUUGUAUCCAUGGAAGAGCUGAAUGACAUGGAUGACUAUGAUAGUGAAGAUGAUAAUGAUUGGCGACCCACUGCAGUAAAGAGAAAGGGAAGAUCUGCAUCUCAGAAGGAAGGAAGUGAUGGAGACAAUGAGGAUGAUGAAGAUGAGGGAAGUGGGAGUGAUGAGGAUGAGAAUGAUGAAGGCAAUGAUGAAGAUCAUAGCAGCCCUGCCAGUGAAGGGGGUUGCAAGAAGAAGAAGAGUAAAGUUCUUAGCAGAAACAGUGCUGAUGAUGAGGAACUGACCAAUGAUAGCCUGACACUAUCUCAGAGCAAGAGUAAUGAGGACUCGCUGAUUCUUGAGAAGAGUCAAAACUGGAGUUCUCAAAAAAUGGACCAUAUUCUGAUUUGCUGUGUUUGUCUUGGAGAUAAUAGUGAGGAUGCUGAUGAAAUAAUUCAGUGUGACAACUGUGGCAUUACAGUCCAUGAAGGUUGUUAUGGAGUUGAUGGAGAGAGUGACUCUAUUAUGAGUUCAGCUUCUGAAAACUCCACUGAACCUUGGUUUUGUGAUGCCUGUAAAUGUGGUGUUUCCCCUAGCUGUGAACUAUGUCCCAAUCAGGAUGGAAUUUUCAAGGAGACAGAUGCUGGAAGAUGGGUUCACAUUGUUUGUGCCCUGUAUGUUCCUGGUGUAGCCUUUGGAGAUAUUGACAAAUUGCGACCAGUAACACUCACAGAAAUGAACUAUUCCAAAUAUGGUGCCAAGGAGUGUAGCUUCUGUGAAGACCCUCGUUUUGCUAGAACUGGAGUUUGCAUUAGCUGUGAUGCAGGGAUGUGCAGAGCCUAUUUCCAUGUGACCUGCGCUCAGAAGGAAGGUCUGCUUUCAGAGGCAGCAGCAGAGGAGGAUAUAGCAGAUCCAUUUUUUGCUUAUUGUAAGCAACAUGCAGAUAGGUUAGACAGAAAGUGGAAGAGAAAAAACUACUUGGCUCUACAAUCCUAUUGUAAAAUGUCUUUACAAGAGAGAGAGAAGCAGCUAUCACCAGAAGCACAGGCAAGGAUCAAUGCCCGGCUUCAGCAAUAUCGUGCCAAAGCAGAACUAGCUCGAUCCACCAGACCCCAGGCCUGGGUUCCAAGGGAAAAAUUGCCCAGACCACUCACUAGCAGUGCUUCGGCCAUUCGUAAACUUAUGCGGAAAGCAGAACUAAUGGGGAUCAGUACAGAUAUCUUCCCAGUGGACAAUUCAGAUACUAGUUCUAGUGUGGAUGGAAGGAGAAAACAUAAGCAACCUGCUCUCACUGCUGAUUUUGUGAAUUAUUAUUUUGAGAGAAAUAUGCGCAUGAUUCAAAUUCAAGAAAAUAUGGCUGAACAAAAGAAUAUAAAGGAUAAAUUAGAGAAUGAACAAGAAAAGCUUCAUGUGGAAUAUAAUAAGCUGUGUGAAUCUUUAGAAGAACUACAAAACCUGAAUGGAAAACUUCGAAGUGAAGGACAAGGAAUAUGGGCCUUACUAGGCAGAAUCACAGGGCAGAAGUUGAACAUACCGGCAAUUUUGCGAGCACCCAAGGAGAGAAAACCAAGUAAAAAAGAAGGAGGCACACAAAAGACAUCUACUCUUCCUGCAGUACUUUAUAGCUGUGGAAUUUGUAAGAAGAACCAUGAUCAGCAUCUUCUUUUAUUGUGUGAUACCUGUAAACUCCAUUACCAUCUUGGAUGUCUGGACCCUCCUCUUACAAGGAUGCCAAGAAAGACCAAAAACAGUUAUUGGCAGUGUUCAGAAUGUGACCAGGCAGGGAGCAGUGACAUGGAAGCAGACAUGGCCAUGGAAACCUUACCAGAUGGGACCAAACGAUCAAGGAGGCAGAUUAAGGAACCAGUGAAAUUUGUUCCACAGGAUAUGCCUCCAGAACCCAAGAAGAUUCCAAUAAGAAACACGAGAACCAGAGGACGAAAACGAAGCUUCCUUCCUGAGGAAGAAAAACAUGAGGAGAGAGUUCCUAGAGAGAGGAGACAAAGGCAGUCUGUGUUACAAAAGAAGCCCAAGGCUGAGGAUUUACGAACUGAAUGUGCAACUUGCAAGGGAACUGGAGACAAUGAAAACCUUGUCAGAUACCCUUCAUGAGACCCAACUCUGCCACUGCUCAUCCUCGGAGGCAAUCCUGGAAACCUCUUUUAUAAGUGUGAUUUUAAAAAUGUGGAUAACACUCUCAAUAGAGUAUAUAAAGUAAAGGAGAACAGCUAUCUUGUCUUUCCCAUAAGCUUAUCACUGCAAAAAGUUGCCUUUGCUUGUCAGGUUUGGAUAGAAUGUAACUGAUUGGUUUGUUACUUGGACUGACAAGGCAGUUAAUUUGCCUGUGUGGAUUUUUUUCUCCUUUUUUUCUACUUCAACUUUUUUUUUUUGCACUAAUCAGAAACAUUUGAUAUGUGCAUUGUUGAAAAAUACUAGAUAAUGUCUUGUCAGAAUUGUCCUAUUAAGUAAUGUCUUCCCCUCUUGCUUCUUUGGCAAAUGAUAUACAGUAUUUGGACUUGAGAGUUAUGGAAGCCUGUGGGACUUAACAUGCAAUGUGCUACUCGUUGUUGAACAAAUCUAGUAACAAACAAGAAAGGGAAUGCAUUCCAUUAGUCUGCUAUUCUGUUUCAUCCAACUUAGUACAUAUAUUCAUAUAUGAAAUGCUGCAUUGGGAAACAACUGUAGACUAUAUUAAAUGUUACUUCUAUUUAUAAUAUUCAGCAAAAGUGAAAGACUUGUGAAAGCAUAUGGCAUUCUAGUUUUGACUCAUUAGUUCUAGUGUGAAAGCACUAAUAUUAGUAGCAUGCAGUUUUUACAACUUCAGAUUUUAAGCUUGUAAAUAAGAAUAUAUCUGUGUUGAUCUCUAGAUAUUUUUUAGUAAUAACCAAAUUUAUUCACUCUUUAUUGAUUUAAUACGAACUUUCUCUGUUCAGUAUAAUUUUAUUUUUCUCAACCUUAAGUAUGAGGUUACAAAAUAAGGAGAGAGAUACAAAGCUUUUGACUAUACAACCUGCCAACUGAAAGAUCUUCAUCAACAUUUGUAUCUUUCCAAAGGUUUACAGAAUUAAAAUUUGGUCUUCAAGCUUUAAUGAACCAGUUUUAAAUCAACGACAGAAAUAUGUUGAAUAUUUCAUCACUUCAUCUUGAACUGAUUUAGAAGAGACUCUUUGCUGAAAUUGAAAUACAUAUAUACAUGUAAAUUGUCAACAUGUCUCUUGGAAUUUCCUGAUUUAUAAAUGUGGUUUGGGACAUCUUUUCAGGUGUGAUGAAUGCAGACUGUGCUACCAUUUUGGUUGUUUGGAUCCUCCCUUGAAAAAGUCUCCUAAACAAACAGGCUAUGGAU